rnacentral:rRNA from 1 species
CCUACGGGAGGCAGCAGUGAGGAAUAUUGGUCAAUGGACGAGAGUCUGAACCAGCCAAGUAGCGUGAAGGAUGACUGCCCUAUGGGUUGUAAACUUCUUUUAUAUGGGAAUAAAAUGUUCCACGUGUGGGAUUUUGUAUGUACCAUAUGAAUAAGGAUCGGCUAACUCCGUGCCAGCAGCCGCGGUAAUACGGAGGAUCCGAGCGUUGUCCGGAUUUAUUGGGUGUAAAGGGAGCGUAGGUGGAUUGUUAAGUCAGUUGUGAAAGUUUGCGGCUCAACCGUAAAAUUGCAGUUGAAACUGGCAGUCUUGAGUACAGGAGAGGUUGGCGGAAUUCGUGGUGUAGCGGUGAAAUGCUUAGAUAUAAGGAAGAACUCCGAUGGCGAAGGCAGCUGACUGGACUGCAACUGACACUGAGGCGCGAAAGUGUGGGGAUCAAACAGGAUUAGAUACCCCAGUAGUC